rnacentral:rRNA from 1 species
GAUGAACGCUGGCGGCGUGCCUAAUACAUGCAAGUCGAGCGAACGGACGAGAAGCUUGCUUCUCUGAUGUUAGCGGCGGACGGGUGAGUAACACGUGGAUAACCUACCUAUAAGACUGGGAUAACUUCGGGAAACCGUAGCUAAUACCGGAUAAUAUUUUGAACCGCAUGGUUCAAAAGUGAAAGACGGUCUUGCUGUCACUUAUAGAUGGAUCCGCGCUGCAUUAGCUAGUUGGUAAGGUAACGGCUUACCAAGGCAACGAUGCAUAGCCGACCUGAGAGGGUGAUCGGCCACACUGGAACUGCGACACGGUCCAGACUCCUACGGGAGGCAGCAGUAGGGAAUCUUCCGCAAUGGGCGAAAGCCUGACGGAGCAACGCCGCGUGAGUGAUGAAGGUCUUCGGAUCGUAAAACUCUGUUAUUAGGGAAGAACAUAUGUGUAAGUAACUGUGCACAUCUUGACGGUACCUAAUCAGAAAGCCACGGCUAACUACGUG